rnacentral:rRNA from 1 species
UACGUAGGGUGCAAGCGUUAUCCGGGAUUAUUGGGCGUAAAGAGCUCGUAGGCGGUUUGUCGCGUCUGCUGUGAAAACUGGAGGCUCAACCUCCAGCCUGCAGUGGGUACGGGCAGACUAGAGUGCGGUAGGGGAGAUUGGAAUUCCUGGUGUAGCGGUGGAAUGCGCAGAUAUCAGGAGGAACACCGAUGGCGAAGGCAGAUCUCUGGGCCGUAACUGACGCUGAGGAGCGAAAGCAUGGGGAGCGAACAGG